rnacentral:lncRNA from 1 species
AAAGAAGAAGGAAAAGGCGUGUGCAACAGGGCUCCUCCUCCGUGCCAUCUGACCCACUGAUUUAUCAAGCGUUCACCACCCUCAUCGGCGCCCCCUCCCUUCACAGAGCGAGUCAGCAUCUCUAACUCUGGCUAACCUGAUUUGGCCACGUCUCAUGCCCUGCCUCCUGUCAGUACCUGACCCCAGAGAAAAAAGGGUUGCUGACCUUGGGGAGCCUACAAUCCUCUAAGAAAACAGCU